GGAUUGGCUCCAGCAGACCCCCGUGACCGUGUGUUCGGAUUCAGCGGGUUGGAAAAUGGAUGAAUGGAUAGUUUUCACUAAGCUAUUUUGGAAGAGCUGUGUAAAUAAUUUGUAAUGGCACAGCAGUAAAACAUCCUCAAGGUUCUAAAAUAUUUGUAAUGGUGUGCUGUGGUCUCAUGUGUGAAGCCAAAGUCACUCCCUUUAUAAAUUAUUUGUUCAUUUAAAAGUUGCUAGAGAUUAUAUUAUCUGAUUUUCACUAUUUCUCUACCUGUUCUAUUACUAAUAAUUCUACUCUUGUAAUCUGAAAUGAAUAUCAUUGUCAUAAAAAGUGAUGAAAGGCUCCAGCUACAUUUUGGUUAAGUAAUUCUUUCUUCUGUGUGAUAAAAUUAUUAAUUGCCACAUUUUCAGAAUUAAAUAUUAUUAAUCCAGUUCUACAAUGAUAUUCCAUCUGCAAAGUUCAUAUCAACUUUGUUUUAAUAUAUAUUAAUAUAAUAUAAAUCAAUUUUGACAAAACAAAUUUUAUCUGUAGGAAAAUUGCCUCUAAAAUAAUGCCAGGUAGCUGGAAAGAACCACAGAAGAAGACUGACAGCCUGGACUGCUCAGGGUAAGUGGAGGACACUCUGCCAGUAGUAAGAUGUAAAUGUUGAUUUAAAAUAAUAACUUGCUUUUUAUUUUGUAUGCUCUCUACAUUGCCACUGGAAGAGCAUUUGAUUUCAGUCAGGAAGACAUGCCAAAAAUUAGAAGAUGGUGGUGUCAUCUCUUACUUCGCAAAGCCAGCAUUAAAG